UAUAGUGAAAGAAGGAAAAUUUCUGGCCACUCUGCAAAACACUGACAAAAUUUGAUACAGUGUUUUGCAUUUUUUGGGAAUCUCCAAUGUCAAACAGAAAAGUACUUCAACCUGAAGAUGUUCAUCACAGUCAAAAAAGAUAAAUCCUAGACCUUUAGCAUAACAAUGAGGGCCUGAAUAUCCACUCACAGAACUGUCACAGGUUUCAAUCUUCUUUACUGACCAGACAUCAACAUUGCAAUCUCCACUGCCACCCAGCAUCUGAGAAAACUUUGCCCUAAAAGUCCAACUUGGAAUUCAGUAGAGAAGAAAAAUGAGAAAACAUGUUUUGCUGUGCAUAACCCACAUCUCAGUGGUAAAAAAAGCAGAGGCAGGUGCCUAUCCCGUGGAAAUAAGUACAGAGGGAGAGGUGGAAGAGAAGAAGUACAGCAAAGAAACUCUAUGCAGCACACAGAGCUCUGCACUUCAUUCCCUUUUGUACUACAGAACCUUGGUUCAA